UGCAAGUUCGAGCGGACAGAUGGGAGCUUGCUCCCUGAUGUUAGCGGCGGACGGGUGAGUAACACGUGGGUAACCUGCCUGUAAGACUGGGAUAACUCCGGGAAACCGGGGCUAAUACCGGAUGCUUGAUUGAACCGCAUGGUUCAAUUAUAAAAGGUGGCUUUUAGCUACCACUUACAGAUGGACCCGCGGCGCAUUAGCUAGUUGGUGAGGUAACGGCUCACCAAGGCAACGAUGCGUAGCCGACCUGAGAGGGUGAUCGGCCACACUGGGACUGAGACACGGCCCAGACUCCUACGGGAGGCAGCAGUAGGGAAUCUUCCGCAAUGGACGAAAGUCUGACGGAGCAACGCCGCGUGAGUGAUGAAGGUUUUCGGAUCGUAAAACUCUGUUGUUAGGGAAGAACAAGUACCGUUCGAAUAGGGCGGUACCUUGACGGUACCUAACCAGAAAGCCACGGCUAACUACGUGCCAGCAGCCGCGGUAAUACGUAGGUGGCAAGCGUUGUCCGGAAUUAUUGGGCGUAAAGCGCGCGCAGGCGGUUUCUUAA
rnacentral:rRNA from 2 species